GAACGCUGGCGGCGUGCCUAAUACAUGCAAGUCGAACGAGUUCUGAUUAUUGAAAGGUGCUUGCAUCUUGAUUUUAAUUUUGAACGAGUGGCGGACGGGUGAGUAACACGUGGGUAACCUGCCCUUAAGUGGGGGAUAACAUUUGGAAACAGAUGCUAAUACCGCAUAAAUCCAAGAACCGCAUGGUUCUUGGCUGAAAGAUGGCGUAAGCUAUCGCUUUUGGAUGGACCCGCGGCGUAUUAGCUAGUUGGUGAGGUAACGGCUCACCAAGGCAAUGAUACGUAGCCGAACUGAGAGGUUGAUCAGCCACAUUGGGACUGAGACACGGCCCAAACUCCUACGGGAGGCAGCAGUAGGGAAUCUUCCACAAUGGACGCAAGUCUGAUGGAGCAACGCCGCGUGAGUGAAGAAGGCUUUCGGGUCGUAAAACUCUGUUGUUGGAGAAGAAUGGUCGGCAGAGUAACUGUUGUCGGCGUGACGGUAUCCAACCAGAAAGCCACGGCUAACUACGUGCCAGCAGCCGCGGUAAUACGUAGGUGGCAAGCGUUAUCCGGAUUUAUUGGGCGUAAAGCGAGCGCAGGCGGUUUUUUAAGUCUGAUGUGAAAGCCCUCGGCUUAACCGAGGAAGUGCAUCGGAAACUGGGAAACUUGAGUGCAGAAGAGGACAGUGGAACUCCAUGUGUAGCGGUGAAAUGCGUAGAUAUAUGGAAGAACACCAGUGGCGAAGGCGGCUGUCUGGUCUGUAACUGACGCUGAGGCUCGAAAGCAUGGGUAGCGAACAGGAUUAGAUACCCUGGUAGUCCAUGCCGUAAACGAUGAAUGCUAGGUGUUGGAGGGUUUCCGCCCUUCAGUGCCGCAGCUAACGCAUUAAGCAUUCCGCCUGGGGAGUACGACCGCAAGGUUGAAACUCAAAGGAAUUGACGGGGGCCCGCACAAGCGGUGGAGCAUGUGGUUUAAUUCGAAGCAACGCGAAGAACCUUACCAGGUCUUGACAUCUUUUGAUCACCUGAGAGAUCAGGUUUCCCCUUCGGGGGCAAAAUGACAGGUGGUGCAUGGUUGUCGUCAGCUCGUGUCGUGAGAUGUUGGGUUAAGUCCCGCAACGAGCGCAACCCUUAUGACUAGUUGCCAGCAUUUAGUUGGGCACUCUAGUAAGACUGCCGGUGACAAACCGGAGGAAGGUGGGGAUGACGUCAAAUCAUCAUGCCCCUUAUGACCUGGGCUACACACGUGCUACAAUGGAUGGUACAACGAGUUGCGAGACCGCGAGGUCAAGCUAAUCUCUUAAAGCCAUUCUCAGUUCGGACUGUAGGCUGCAACUCGCCUACACGAAGUCGGAAUCGCUAGUAAUCGCGGAUCAGCACGCCGCGGUGAAUACGUUCCCGGGCCUUGUACACACCGCCCGUCACACCAUGAGAGUUUGUAACACCCGAAGCCGGUGGCGUAACCCUUUUAGGGAGCGAGCCGUCUAAGGUGGGACAAAUGAUUAGGGU
rnacentral:rRNA from 1 species